rnacentral:rRNA from 1 species
GAUCAUGGCUCAGGAUGAACGCUGGCGGCGUGCCUAACACAUGCAAGUCGAGCGAAGCACUUUGCUUAGAUUCUUCGGAUGAAGAGGAUUGUGACUGAGCGGCGGACGGGUGAGUAACGCGUGGGUAACCUGCCUCAUACAGGGGGAUAACAGUUAGAAAUGACUGCUAAUACCGGCAUAAGACCACAGCACCGCAUGGUGCGGGGGUAAAAACUCCGGUGGUUAUGAGAUGGACCCG